rnacentral:rRNA from 1 species
UAGGGAAUCUUCGGCAAUGGACGGAAGUCUGACCGAGCAACGCCGCGUGAGUGAAGGAGGUUUUCGGAUCGUAAAGCUCUGUUGUAAGAGAAGAACGAGUGUGAGAGUGGAAAGUUCACACUGUGACGGUAUCUUACCAGAAAGGGACGGCUAACUACGUGCCAGCAGCCGCGGUAAUACGUAGGUCCCGAGCGUUGUCCGGAUUUAUUGGGCGUAAAGCGAGCGCAGGCGGUUAGAUAAGUCUGAAGUUAAAGGCUGUGGCUUAACCAUAGUACGCUUUGGAAACUGUUUAACUUGAGUGCAAGAGGGGAGAGUGGAAUUCCAUGUGUAGCGGUGAAAUGCGUAGAUAUAUGGAGGAACACCGGUGGCGAAAGCGGCUCUCUGGCUUGUAACUGACGCUGAGGCUCGAAAGCGUGGGGAGCAAACAGGAUUAGAUACCCUGGUAGUCCACGCCGUAAACGAUGAGUGCUAGGUGUUAGACCCUUUCCGGGGUUUAGUGCCGUAGCUAACGCAUUAAGCACUCCGCCUGGGGAGUACGACCGCAAGGUU